UACGUAGGUGGCAAGCGUUAUCCGGAUUUAUUGGGUGUAAAGGGCGUGUAGGCGGGAGCGCAAGUCAGGUGUGAAAACUCAGGGCUCAACCCUGAGCCUGCAUUUGAAACUGUGUUUCUUGAGUGCUGGAGAGGCAAUCGGAAUUCCGUGUGUAGCGGUGAAAUGCGUAGAUAUACGGAGGAACACCAGUGGCGAAGGCGGAUUGCUGGACAGUAACUGACGCUGGGGCGCGAAAGCGUGGGGAGCAAACAGG
rnacentral:rRNA from 1 species